CCUACGGGGGGCUGCAGUGGGGAAUUUUCCGCAAUGGGCGAAAGCCUGACGGAGCAAUACCGCGUGAGGGAGGAAGGCUCUUGGGUUGUAAACCUCUUUUCUCAGGGAAGAACAAAAUGACGGUACCUGAGGAAUCAGCAUCGGCUAACUCCGUGCCAGCAGCCGCGGUAAUACGGAGGAUGCAAGCGUUAUCCGGAAUGAUUGGGCGUAAAGCGUCCGCAGGUGGCUUAUCAAGUCGAUUGUCAAAGGUCCUGGCUCAACUGGGAAGAGGCAGUGGAAACUGAAAAGCUAGAGUGCGGUAGGGGUAGAGGGAAUUCCCGGUGUAGCGGUGAAAUGCGUAGAGAUCGGGAAGAACACCAGUGGCGAAAGCGCUCUACUAGGCCUGCACUGACACUCAUGGACGAAAGCUAGGGGAGCGAAUGGGAUUAGAUA
rnacentral:rRNA from 1 species